rnacentral:rRNA from 1 species
UACAGAGGGUGCAAGCGUUGUUCGGAAUUACUGGGCGUAAAGCGCGUGUAGGUGGCGAUGUAAGUCGGGUGUGAAAUCCCUCAGCUUAACUGAGGAAGUGCACUCGAUACUGUGUCGCUUGAGUGUUGGAGGGGAUGGCGGAAUUCCCGGUGUAGAGGUGAAAUUCGUAGAUAUCGGGAGGAACACCGGUGGCGAAGGCGGUGCUCUGGGCCGGAACUGACGCUGAGGAGCGAAAGCGUGGGGAGCAAACAGG